ensembl:misc_RNA 7SK 7SK RNA
GGAUAUGAGGAUGAUCUGGCUGCGACAUCUGUCAUCUCAUUGAUCACCAGGGUUGAUUUAGCUGAUCUGGCUGGCUAGACAGGUGUCCCCUUUCCUCCCUCCCUGAUCCAUCCAUGUCUUUUCUAAAGCUGCACACUCAGUGAAAGAAGACGACCACCCCUGAUACGGGAGAUAGAGAAGGACCAUUUCCUCAGUCAAGGGCAAAUAAGUAGCUGUAGUCUCCUGUUGGAACCUCCAAACUAACUCUCAAAUGAGAACUUCAGUGUUUUGCACAAGAAUUGGUAUAUGCAUGAUCCAUCAUUAAACACUGAGGAAUAGUUUCAGAGAUUUUUUUA